rnacentral:rRNA from 1 species
AGAGUUUGAUCCUGGCUCAGAUUGAACGCUGGCGGCAUGCCUUACACAUGCAAGUCGAACGGCAGCACGGAGCUUGCUCUGGUGGCGAGUGGCGAACGGGUGAGUAAUAUAUCGGAACGUACCCUAGAGUGGGGGAUAACGUAGCGAAAGUUACGCUAAUACCGCAUACGAUCUAAGGAUGAAAGUGGGGGAUCGCAAGACCUCAUGCUCGUGGAGCGGCCGAUAUCUGAUUAGCUAGUUGGUAGGGUAAAAGCCUACCAAGGCAUCGAUCAGUAGCUGGUCUGAGAGGACGACCAGCCACACUGGAACUGAGACACGGUCCAGACUCCUACGGGAGGCAGCAGUGGGGAAUUUUGGACAAUGGGCGAAAGCCUGAUCCAGCAAUGCCGCGUGAGUGAAGAAGGCCUUCGGGCUGUAAAGCUCUUUUGUCAGGGAAGAAACGGUGAGAGCUAAUAUCUUUUGCUAAUGACGGUACCUGAAGAAUAAGCACCGGCUAACUACGUGCCAGCAGCCGCGGUAAUACGUAGGGUGCAAGCGUUAAUCGGAAUUACUGGGCGUAAAGCGUGCGCAGGCGGUUUUGUAAGUCUGAUGUGAAAUCCCCGGGCUCAACCUGGGAAUUGCAUUGGAGACUGCAAGGCUAGAAUCUGGCAGAGGGGGGUAGAAUUCCACGUGUAGCAGUGAAAUGCGUAGAUAUGUGGAGGAACACCGAUGGCGAAGGCAGCCCCCUGGGUCAAGAUUGACGCUCAUGCACGAAAGCGUGGGGAGCAAACAGGAUUAGAUACCCUGGUAGUCCACGCCCUAAACGAUGUCUACUAGUUGUCGGGUCUUAAUUGACUUGGUAACGCAGCUAACGCGUGAAGUAGACCGCCUGGGGAGUACGGUCGCAAGAUUAAAACUCAAAGGAAUUAACGGGGACCCGCACAGCGGUGGAUGAUGUGGAUUAAUUCGAUGCAACGCGAAAACCUUACCUACCCUUGACAUGGCUGGAAUCCCCGAGAGAUUGGGGGAGUGCUCGAAGAGACAGUACACAGUGCUGCAUGGCUGUCGUCAGCUCGUGUCGUGAGAUGUUGGGUAGUCCCGCCACGAGCGCACCUGUCUAGUACAGCACGUAUGUUGGCACUCUAGGAGCUGCGGUGACAACGAGCAGUGGAUGACGUCAGGUCAUCUAUGCCUUACGGGCCUUGGCUCACACACGGUUGUCUCUACACAAAUGUC